rnacentral:rRNA from 1 species
CUAGGCCGUAACAAGCCUUGAACCCUUCUCUACGCGCACCUUUACCUUCUCCUUCGGCGGGUCAGCGCCCGCCGUCGGAACCAACAAACCCCCCUUUUGCAUCUAGCAUACCACCCGUUCCGAUACAAAACACAAUCGUUACAACUUUCAACAAUGGAUCUCUUGGCUCUGGCAUCGAUGAAGAACGCAGCGAAAUGCGAUAAGUAGUGUGAAUUGCAGAAUUCAGUGAAUCAUCGAAUCUUUGAACGCACAUUGCGCCCCUUGGUAUUCCAUGGGGCAUGCCUGUUCGAGCGUCAUCUACACCCUCAAGCUCUGCUUGGUGUUGGGCGUCUGUCCCCGCCUCCGCGCGCGGACUCGCCCCAAAUCCAUUGGCAGCGUCCCCUCGCCCCCCUCUCGCGCAGCACGAAUGCGCAUGACGAGGGAGCGGCUCCCGGGGUCGCGACCCACCCCCAAGAUGACCACCGUCUUUGACCUCGGAUCAGGUAGGGAUACCCGCUGAACUUAAGCAUAUCAAUAAGCGGAGGAAAAGAAACCAACAGGGAUUGCCUCAGUAACGGCGAGUGAAGCGGCAACAGCUCAAAUUUGAAAUCUGGCCCCCCUCUGGGGGGUCCGAGUUGUAAUUUGCAGAGGGCGCUUUGGCAUCGGCGGCGGUCUAAGUUCCUUGGAACAGGACAUCGCAGAGGGUGAGAAUCCCGUACGUGGGCGCCUGCCUUUGCCGUGUAAAGCCCCUUCGACGAGUCGAGUUGUUUGGGAAUGCAGCUCUAAAUGGGAGGUAAAUUUCUUCUAAAGCUAAAUACCGGCCAGAGACCGAUAGCGCACAAGUAGAGUGAUCGAAAGAUGAAAAGUACUUUGGAAAGAGAGUCAAAUAGCACGUGAAAUUGUUGAAAGGGAAGCGCUUGCAGCCAGACGUGCGCGCGGUUGCUCACCCCGGCUCUCGCCUGGGGCACUCUUCCGCGCGCAGGCCAGCAUCAGUUCGGGCGGUCGGAUAAAGGCCUCUGUCAAGUACCUUCCCCCGGGAAGGCCUUAUAGGGGAGGCGCAAUGCGACCAGCCCGGACUGAGGUCCGCG